GGGGCAGCGGAGAGUAGCAAUACUCUGCCGGCGACCGGCGAAAGGGUGCGUAACGCGUGAGCAACUUGCCCGUAUCCGGGACAUAAGCGGUGGAAACGCCGUCUAAUUUCCCAUAACAACGAGGGCCGCAUGACCCAUGUUUGAAAGAUCCGUCGGAUACGGAUGGGCUCGCGAGACAUUAGCUAGUCGGCGUGGUAACGGCACACCGAGGCGACGAUGUCUAGGGGUUCUGAGAGGAAGGUCCCCCACACUGGAACUGAGACACGGUCCAGACUCCUACGGGAGGCAGCAGUGAGGAAUAUUGGUCAAUGGGCGCAAGCCUGAACCAGCCAUGCCGCGUGAAGGAAUAAGGCCCUAUGGGUCGUAAACUUCUUUUGUGGUGGAGCAAUAAGGUGCACGUGUGCAUCGAUGAGAGUACAUCACGAAUAAGCAUCGGCUAACUCCGUGCCAGCAGCCGCGGUAAUACGGAGGAUGCAAGCGUUAUCCGGAUUUAUUGGGUUUAAAGGGUGCGUAGGCUGUUCGACAAGUCAGGGGUGAAAGCCCAGUGCCUAACACUGGAACUGCCUUUGAUACUGCCGAGCUGGAAUACGGAUGCCGUGGGAGGAAUGAGUAGUGUAGCGGUGAAAUGCAUAGAUAUUACUCAGAACACCGAUUGCGAAGGCAUCUCACGAAUCCGUCAUUGACGCUGAGGCACGAAAGCGUGGGGAUCAAACAGGAUUAGAUACCCUGGUAGUCCACGCAGU
rnacentral:rRNA from 1 species